rnacentral:rRNA from 1 species
GAUGAACGCUGGCGGCGUGCUUAACACAUGCAAGUCGAACGGAAAGGCCCAAGCUUGCUUGGGUACUCGAGUGGCGAACGGGUGAGUAACACGUGGGUGAUCUGCCCUGCACUUCGGGAUAAGCCUGGAAACUGGGUCUAAUACCGGAUAGGACCACAUUUUGGAUGGUGUGGUGGAAAGUUUUUCGGUGUGGGAUGAGCUCGCGGCCUAUCAGCUUGUUGGUGGGGUAAUGGCCUACCAAGGCGUCGACGGGUAGCCGGCCUGAGAGGGUGUACGGCCACAUUGGGACUGAGAUACGGCCCAGACUCCUACGGGAGGCAGCAGUGGGGAAUAUUGCACAAUGGGCGCAAGCCUGAUGCAGCGACGCCGCGUGGGGGAUGACGGCCUCCGGGUUGUAAACUCCUUUCGCUAGGGACGAAGCGUUAUGUGACGGUACCUGGAGAAGAAGCACCGGCUAACUACGUG